GCGAACGGGUGAGUAACACGUGGGCAAUCUGCCCUUCACUCUGGGACAAGCCCUGGAAACGGGGUCUAAUACCGGAUAACACUUCCUGCCGCAUGGUGGGGGGUUAAAAGCUCCGGCGGUGAAGGAUGAGCCCGCGGCCUAUCAGCUUGUUGGUGGGGUGAUGGCCUACCAAGGCGACGACGGGUAGCCGGCCUGAGAGGGCGACCGGCCACACUGGGACUGAGACACGGCCCAGACUCCUACGGGAGGCAGCAGUGGGGAAUAUUGCACAAUGGGCGAAAGCCUGAUGCAGCGACGCCGCGUGAGGGAUGACGGCCUUCGGGUUGUAAACCUCUUUCAGCAGGGAAGAAGCGAAAGUGACGGUACCUGCAGAAGAAGCGCCGGCUAACUACGUGCCAGCAGCCGCGGUAAUACGUAGGGCGCAAGCGUUGUCCGGAAUUAUUGGGCGUAAAGAGCUCGUAGGCGGCUUGUCACGUCGGAUGUGAAAGCCCGGGGCUUAACCCCGGGUCUGCAUUCGAUACGGGCUAGCUAGAGUGUGGUAGGGGAGAUCGGAAUUCCUGGUGUAGCGGUGAAAUGCGCAGAUAUCAGGAGGAACACCGGUGGCGAAGGCGGAUCUCUGGGCCAUUACUGACGCUGAGGAGCGAAAGCGUGGGGAGCGAACAGGAUUAGAUACCCUGGUAGUCCA
rnacentral:rRNA from 2 species